ensembl:snRNA U6 U6 spliceosomal RNA
UGUGCUCACUUUAGCAGCAUGUACUGUAUACUAAAAUUGGGAUGAUACAGAGAUUAGUGUGACCCCUGUGCAAGGAUAACAUGCAAAUUUGUGAAACAUUCCAUGUUUUC